rnacentral:rRNA from 1 species
UACGAAGGGGGCUAGCGUUGCUCGGAAUUACUGGGCGUAAAGCGCACGUAGGCGGAUCUUUAAGUCAGGGGUGAAAUCCUGGAGCUCAACUCCAGAACUGCCUUUGAUACUGAAGAUCUUGAGUUCGGGAGAGGUGAGUGGAACUGCGAGUGUAGAGGUGAAAUUCGUAGAUAUUCGCAAGAACACCAGUGGCGAAGGCGGCUCACUGGCCCGAUACCGACGCUGAGGCACGAAAGCGUGGGGAGCAAACAGG